UCUCUUAUCACAGAUGGUGAAAAUAAAGACCAGAGAUGGGAAAUGACUUGCUUGAGGUCUCACAAGCCUGAACCUUUAGGUCCUCUUCAUAGUCUGUCACCAUCCUGUGUCAGUCUUACAAUUUCCUGUCCCGACUUUCUCUUCCUGAGGUGGGAGGCAACAGCUGCCAUGCUGGAAGGAGCAGAAGAGGUUCUCACUCCCAUCCCCUCUCCCGUGGCUGGAGACCUUGGGCAAGUCACUCCACCUCUCUGGGGAGAAGAAAAUUAAGAAUGAUUCUGAAAUUUCAAAGAGAUGUCGACUUAAGGAAGAAAUGGAAAGAAAUGAAAAUUUGCAAUGUCACAAAGCCAGAGCAUGGAUGGAAGAAGAAAUCUUGACCUGAAAUGACCACAGAACCAAGGAUUCUCCCCCCAAAUGGAACAAAAGGACCAGGACAUGACUGGAACUUAAAAAGUCAGACUCUUAUCAGAAGCAAGGGGUCCAUCAUUCAGGAAGAUCUGUGUCAAAAUCCUUCCCGACCUUAUCUUGAAAGUUUAGAAGCUUACCAUAAAUGCUUGAAACCCACCAAUCAAAACCUCUCCCACUAGCAUUUCUACAUGCUGGCCUGUUCUCCCUAACCUCUUAAAUUACACCCCAAAUCCUGAAUUGGGGAGACAGAUCUGAGGGCAUAUGCCCCCUGUCUCCCUGAAGAUUGAUCUGGCAGA